rnacentral:rRNA from 1 species
UGAGUGGCGAACGGGUGAGUAACACGUGGACAACCUGCCUCAAGGCUGGGGAUAACAUUUGGAAACAGAUGCUAAUACCGAAUAAAACUUAGUGUCGCAUGACAAAAAGUUAAAAGGCGCUUCGGCGUCACCUAGAGAUGGAUCCGCGGUGCAUUAGUUAGUUGGUGGGGUAAAGGCCUACCAAGACAAUGAUGCAUAGCCGAGUUGAGAGACUGAUCGGCCACAUUGGGACUGAGACACGGCCCAAACUCCUACGGGAGGCUGCAGUAGGGAAUCUUCCACAAUGGGCGAAAGCCUGAUGGAGCAACGCCGCGUGUGUGAUGAAGGCUUUCGGGUCGUAAAGCACUGUUGUAUGGGAAGAACAGCUAGAAUAGGAAAUGAUUUUAGUUUGACGGUACCAUACCAGAAAGGGACGGCUAAAUACGUGCCAGCAGCCGCGGUAAUACGUAUGUCCCGAGCGUUAUCCGGAUUUAUUGGGCGUAAAGCGAGCGCAGACGGUUU